CGCAAUCAUCCUAACCAUACAAUUCUUAAUCAAAGGAUCAAAAAUUCGAAAACAUCAAAUCCUCUAUAUUUUCGAUAGUAUAGUAGUUCUACACUAUAUAUAUAUAUAUAUUAAAAAUAUAUAAAUAUAAUAUAUUUUAAUUAUAUAUAAACUGAGUGAAUAAUCUAAGUUUAGUUAAAAUUGGGCCAAUGUUGUUGGCCUAUAAAAACAAACCCAAUAGACAAAUAAAAGAGCAAAAUUUUACUAAAUUUAUACACUUUCUCUUUCUUUCUUUCACAGAACUCUAAAUUUUCAAUAUGUUUCUCUCUUUCUCUUUUUCUGUCUCUCACCCUAA
rnacentral:lncRNA from 1 species